rnacentral:misc_RNA from 1 species
GUGUUGCUUACCCGUGGAAAGGAAUUCGAUGGUUUUGUUGUCCCUAUUCGCCUUGUACCCUUUGGGGUGCGGGGUGGACRUGAGGUGGGCUCCGUGUUCCCCGCGUGUUGAGUGCGUUGACACUUGCUCGUUGUGGCCCAUGGGGUCUCAGCCCGUGCUCUCGGAUAUGGAAUGUUGUGUGUGGGCGUGGGGUCUCGGCCUCUUCUCGUCCAAGCUACACGCAUUGUCCCUUGACAUGAACGACUGCUGCUCCCGUCUUGAUCGGCCGACCGAACCCUUAUCACRGGGUUUUGGGAGGGCGGCUCAUGCGGUUGUCGGCGUUGGAGAGGAAUGC